CGGGAUUCUGCCAGCCGCGGCUGCCGCUGGAGCCGGUGUCCGGGCUGGUGAUGGGGUUAAUUCCCUUUCGUAAGACUCCUACUUGCACCCACCCAGCCCCGCCGUCGCCCCGCCGCGCCGCGCUCCAACCGCCUCCUCCUCCUCCUCAGUAACGCGGGAACUUUUGAAAAUGUACUGGGUCUUCACACAUAAUGGUGUCCUUGGAGUGCGUACAGUGAGACAAAUUUAAGGUUAGCUUGGAAACAGUUUUUUUAUGGAGUCUUCUGACAGUAGUGUCUGGCUAGGGUUCAGGGCAGCUCUACCUGAUGCUGAAUACGAGCUGAAGUAUAUAAUGUUGUGGCACGCCUCCUGGGUUAUUGAACCCACACUGUUGGGUGCUCCUUUGAGGGACCUUACAUGGCAGCAGCAGUAGAAAAUUUUGUAAAAUUGAAAUAAGCUUUUAAAAAUACUAUGCAUAAGACAAGAAACAUCGAGUAAUGAAAGAUUCUCUAGUACUGGCACUUUAGAAUACCUAAUUAUACCCAUUUCAGUUAAUGUUAAGUUCUAAUUCCUCAGAAAUAAAGAAGUACUGAGAGUUGAUAGUAGGUUUUGUGGGGUUUUUUCCAUUCUUGAAAAUGUUGUAACAAACACUUUAAGACUGAUGGGUUUAUAUUAUAUUCUUGCUGCUUGGAUUAGAAAAUUUCACAAUUACCACUUUCAGGGUCCAUUAUAAAUAUGUUGAGUAGUCCGUGUGUCAAAAGAGGUGUGGUUACAAAUGGUAGCGAACUUUUCAGAUAGCACUUGCUGCUCCAAACCACAGAAUCAGUACACUGUUUAGUCAUAUCUACAUACAAUGAUGAUACCUUACUGCUUAUCACUUAAUAUGAAUAAACUAAGAUGGUUAUCAUAAAGAGAAGGGAGCAUGUCCAUUCUUCUCAGAAUAAUAGUCUUUUUUUAAAAAUGUAAAAUCUUCCACUUGAUCCAUGUGAAUUCUGAUAAUGUUUACUAAUAUUACAGGCUUGGGCAAAGAAAUAAUAAAAUCAAACAAUUUUAUUAAGUUAACUUUGCUUUCCAAAUAAGUAUAUGUUGUAUAAUGAAACAGAUUUGCUUAUACCUGGUAAGCAUGUGUAUUUUUUUCAGGAUUUAUUUCAAUUAGUUAUUUACUGAUGGUUGAAUUAAGAGGUGAGUUAUUUAAUCCUGGCUCAGAACUAGUU
ensembl:lncRNA